rnacentral:rRNA from 1 species
CCUACGGGGGGCUGCAGUGGGGAAUAUUGGACAAUGGGCGAAAGCCUGAUCCAGCCAUGCCGCGUGUGUGAAGAAGGCCUUCGGGUUGUAAAGCACUUUCAGUGGGGAAGAAAGCCUUGGGGCUAAUACCCUCGAGGAAGGACAUCACCCACAGAAGAAGCACCGGCUAACUCCGUGCCAGCAGCCGCGGUAAUACGGAGGGUGCGAGCGUUAAUCGGAAUUACUGGGCGUAAAGCGCGCGUAGGCGGUCUGAUAAGCCGGUUGUGAAAGCCCCGGGCUCAACCUGGGAACGGCAUCCGGAACUGUCAGGCUAGAGUGCAGGGGAGGAAGGUAGAAUUCCCGGUGUAGCGGUGAAAUGCGUAGAGAUCGGGAGGAAUACCAGUGGCGAAGGCGGCCUUCUGGACUGACACUGACGCUGAGGUGCGAAAGCGUGGGUAGCAAACAGGAUUAGAUACCCCUGUAGUC